rnacentral:rRNA from 1 species
CUUAAUCGAUUUUUUAAAUAAUAUUUUUACACCGAAAGUCCUUGAUUUUAUUUAUAGUUGAAAGGCUUGUUCUUAAUCUUAUCAGGUAGACUAGUAUAAACUAUUUUUAUGUUGUGAUAAAUUAUUCGGUAGGUCUUAUAUCUGUUUUACAGCUUUUUUUGUUUAAUCAACUUUCUGGCUAAGAGGUCAGAUAGUAUAAAAUAUCUUUGUUUUUAUUCACUAAGAAAGGGUUAAAAUUACCCAGUCUUUAUAAUUGUGUUACAACUUUUGUUGAAUGGUUUGGUAGAUUUUGUUAGAUAGCUGUUAAUGGUAACUUUUAGUAAUUUUUUAUGAUUAAAUUAGUAAUUUCAAUAUGGGUUCUGUUUCUCUAGAGUUACCUGUCUGUUUAUUAAAAACAUUUCCACCUGUUUAUAAUACGUGGUAGUACCUGCUCUAUGCUUUAAGUAAAUGGCCGCAGUAUCUUGACUGUGCGAAGGUAGCAUAAUUAAUUGCCUUAUAAUUGAAGGCUUGUUUGAAUGGUUUGACAAGGUAGUAUCGAACAUGACUUAUAUUAUUGAAUUUAAUUCUGGGGGCACAGAAUCCCCUCAUUUAAAUUAGACGGAAAGACCCCGGGAUCUUGGAAUUUUGUCUGGGGCAGAUUAUGGUGAUUCACUUAUAAAUUGGACCCUAAUGGUGCAUUGGUGUAAGUUACCCCGGGGAUAACAGUGUAAUAGUUUAUUAGAGAUCUUAUCGAAUUAACUGUUUGCCACCUCGAUGUUGACUUAGGUUUAAACUUGGGCGCAGUAGUUUAAGUUUUUGGUCUGUUCGACCCUUAGU